AAUAGCCCAGUGGUUAGGGCACUCAGCUUGGAUGUGGAGACCUGGGUUCGAAUCCCUGUU
rnacentral:tRNA from 1 species